UGCGCCUCAUGGAGCUGUCAUAAGGAAUCAGUUGAUUAAUUGAGAAUUCUACACUCCAGCAAUAGCAGAGAUAGAUAACACAAAUGACAUUUGCCCGCCCAUGGCUGCCCAUGGACCAAUUGGUAUCUGCUUCCUUCCCUCUGAGGCCCAUAGAAGCCCUGGACUCAAUCUGACUCAAGGAGAUGAUGGGACUACCAGCUGCGGAAAGGAGCUACCCACUCCAAGGUCUCUGCUGAGAGCUGAACACUCAUCAAGACACCCUGCCUGCAGGGAGGAAUUACCCAAUGCUGGUCUCCUCUGAGCUGUUCCAUUGCUCAAUAUAACUUCUCUUUGCUUUGCUCACCCUCCACUUGUCCAUCUACCUCAUUCUUCCUGGACACAGGACAAGAACUUGGGACCUGCAAAAGGGCUGUAACACAAACAGGGCUGAAACACAUCCCUUGUUCGCCAUAUUGUAGGUGACAAGGAGGAGAGAAAAGAGGAGGAGAGAAGAGCUGCAGCCCUUCUGGGAGCCCAGACCUAGGAGAUCCCUGAGCCAGGGCUAUGACACCCUCUUUGGGGCUCUAUGGUUCCUGGUGCCUCCAAGCUUCCGGAAGCCACUGCAUUCCUCAGUGCCAGCUGUGGAAGCUGCUUGUGGUACAUUUGGUCCAGCCACAGCCUUGCAGGGAGCUGGCACCCAUGCUGGUGCCUAUAGCUCCCCACCCCACCGCAGCCGGCUUGCCUGGCUGUGCACAGUGGCCAGACCUCAUGCUCACUCAUGUACCCUUCACCACUCUGCACCUGGCCUGCCCUUGGCAGGUAUGGGAUUCAGGUAUCCAGCCCCAGCCGAUUGCAGCCUGCCAGGCUGAGUGGGUGGAAUGAAACCUGUGGGCCCAAACAAAACUCAAGGAAAGGCACCACUGGCCACAUACGUUUCCAGCUGGUGAAGUGACACCCCGAGAAUCCCAUGGCAUUAUCAUACACUCUUCUUAAAAACUGAACCCGAGGGAAAAAUGAUACCCUUGAACAGUGAGGGAUAA
rnacentral:lncRNA from 1 species